rnacentral:rRNA from 1 species
GACGAACGCUGGCGGCGUGCCUAAUACAUGCAAGUUGAGCGAUGAAGAUUGGUGCUUGCACCAAUUUGAAGAGCAGCGAACGGGUGAGUAACGCGUGGGGAAUCUGCCUUUGAGCGGGGGACAACAUUUGGAAACGAAUGCUAAUACCGCAUAACAACUUUAAACAUAAGUUUUAAGUUUGAAAGAUGCAAUUGCAUCACUCAAAGAUGAUCCCGCGUUGUAUUAGCUAGUUGGUGAGGUAAAGGCUCACCAAGGCGAUGCUACAUAGCCGACCUGAGAGGGUGGGCGGCCGGCAUGGGACGGUGACAGGACACAAACGGAUUCGGGAGGGGGCAGGAGGGAAUCGUGAGGCAGGGGCGAAGGACAGACCGAGAUAGGCCGAGGGAGGAAAGAAGGUUGUCGGGUCGUAGAACUCGGUUGGUAGGGAAGAACGCGGGUGGGAGUGGAAAGCUCAGCGAGUGACGGUAACUAGCAAGAAAGGGACGGCUAACUACGUG